AUGAAAAUGAUCAUCUGGAACUGUAGAGGGCUGGGUCGGCCUCGUACAGCUCAAGAAUUAGUGUUCAUCAAUAAGUCUUACCGACCCAACAUUAUUUUCCUUUUAGAAACUAGAAAGAAUAAAGAUUAUGUUGAGAGUUUGCGGUAUCGUUUGGGUAUGAAAAAUGUAUUUAUUGUUUCGGGUAAAGGCAAAGGUGGUAGUUUAGCGAUAUUUUGGGAUAAGUGUUUCUCUGUGGAAAUAAAUAAAUUUGGUGACCAUUUUAUUGAUUUGUACAUAUGUAAGGGUGAUGGACCAAGAUGGAGAUGCACAUGUGUGUAUGGGAAACCAAAGGCGAGCCAAAGGUACGUCAUGUGGGAGCUUUUGAGACGAGUUAAAUGUCUUGGUUCUGGCCCAUGGUUCAUGGUCGGCGAUUUUAAUGAAGCUAUGUGGCAAAAUGAGCAUUUUUCUCGUAAUAAAAGAUCGUCUAAACUCAUGGAUAAUUUUCGGGAGGUUCUCUCUGAUUGCAAUUUAUUUGAUCUGGAUUUUCACGGAGUACCUUGGACGUAUGAUAACAAGCAGGAAGGUUGUCGAAAUGUCAAAGCGCGUCUUGAUCGGGCAGUGGCGUGCCCUCAAUGGUCUGCUAUGUUUCCCCAGUGCAAGGUUCAAAAUGUCAUUUCUUCCAGGUCAGAUCAUUGACCUUUGUUUAUUCAGUUGUUGGGUAGUCGGCCUAAC
rnacentral:rRNA from 1 species